UACGUAGGGUGCAAGCGUUAAUCGGAAUUACUGGGCGUAAAGCGUGCGCAGGCGGUGAUGUAAGACAGGUGUGAAGUCCCCGGGCUUAACCUGGGAACUGCAUUUGUGACUGCAUCGCUGGAGUGCGGCAGAGGGGGAUGGAAUUCCGCGUGUAGCAGUGAAAUGCGUAGAUAUGCGGAGGAACACCGAUGGCGAAGGCAAUCCCCUGGGCCUGCACUGACGCUCAUGCACGAAAGCGUGGGGAGCAAACAGG
rnacentral:rRNA from 1 species